CUCGAUAGCGGAGUGCAGGGGUCCAUCUACUGGAAACCCCUUCUGUACUCACCGUCCCCGGAGUGAGGGCUAACAAAGGACCGAGGAGAAGCAGGUGGAGCACCAGAGACGAGAGCAGGAGCGGGGUGAAGCCCGUUAUAGGUGGCCAGUUCGAGGACCGCCAACACCGCCCGACACCUUCCCUUAAGCUCCCCAGGCUCCCCCGUCUCUCUGCCGGCCUGGAGAGUUGGCAUCUACCCGCUGUGGUCCGUAGAGCUGGAGGUGUGAGCGUUAGGAUCGGCGCGCCGGCAGCAUCUCUCCUCCCGUUCAUUCACAUCCAACAUGGCUCACACACUCACACUGACUGGCGGGCUGGCUCACACACUCCUUUAGAGUGUGUGUGUGUGUGUGUGUGUGUUUGUGAGAGAGAGAGAAAGAGAGAGAGAGAAAGGCGAUAUGAAUGUGUAGCAUCAUCCAUACGCACACACACACCAUCACGCUCUCUUCCCCUCCCCCUUGUGCUUGCAUCUCCAGCGCCUCACCCUCUCUGUUUUUUCUCUUUAAAUGCAUGGCUCCGGUAAGCAGGGUUUUUACACAGCACCCGCGGCGGUGCAAUCCCUACAGCGGGAAAAAGGAGGGGGAAAAAGUGCAAUCAGUCAUCACCUUAUAUGAAGCAUGACCAGGAUGGGCUCUAUAUCAACAAGAGCAAAAACUCACGAAUACAGCUGUUACAUUCAGGUUAUGCUGAAGUGAUGAAAUGGGAUUCCCUCAAAUUUAGAGAAAUGCAUGUAAAUUAAAGCCAGGAUUUAGGCUGCCUUUUCAGAUUUUUUUUACAUGUUCUUGCUCUAUUAAACCGCACUGUGAGUUCAGCUCUGGUUAUAUCAAUUUAAAUCAUGUAAAAGUGAUGUAAUCUGCUUAUUAUAUCCAUGACUAAGUCUCUGUCACACACAGGCAUACUCAAAUUUCAACAGCGAAUCAUAUAUUUCCUGUAAUGUACUAUAGUUGGGUAUCCAGAGCCACUGAUGCCACAAUGUAUAAAAUGAAUAAACCUGUAUUUUGCA